rnacentral:rRNA from 1 species
UACGAAGGGGGCUAGCGUUGCUCGGAAUUACUGGGCGUAAAGCGCACGUAGGCGGCUUUCUAAGUCGGGGGUGAAAUCCUGGAGCUUAACUCCAGAACUGCCUUCGAUACUGGAGAGCUCGAGUCCGGGAGAGGUGAGUGGAACUGCGAGUGUAGAGGUGAAAUUCGUAGAUAUUCGCAAGAACACCGGUGGCGAAGGCGGCUCACUGGCCCGGUACUGACGCUGAGGUGCGAAAGCGUGGGGAGCAAACAGG